rnacentral:lncRNA from 1 species
CAACCAUAACAACCAAUGAGAAUAAGUUUCUAAAAAUUAACGGAAGUCAUUGUUCGAAAAUUAAAAUCCAAGUUCACACUUCAGAUAGCAUUCAUGUAAAGGUAAUUGACACACUUCUACUUGAAUUUGACAAGAAAUUUCAAAGGUGAACUCAUAACAAAAUGUCGGGCCAAUCGAACAGAAUAAUAAAAGAAAUAAAGAAUA